rnacentral:rRNA from 1 species
GUAAUACGUAGGGUGCGAGCGUUAAUCGGAAUUACUGGGCGUAAAGCGUGCGCAGGCGGUUUUGUAAGACAGAUGUGAAAUCCCCGGGCUUAACCUGGGAACUGCGUUUGUGACUGCAAGGCUAGAGUACGGCAGAGGGGGGUGGAAUUCCUGGUGUAGCAGUGAAAUGCGUAGAUAUCAGGAGGAACACCGAUGGCGAAGGCAGCCCCCUGGGCCUGUACUGACGCUCAUGCACGAAAGCGUGGGGAGCAAACAGGAUUAGAUACCCUGGUAGUCCACGCCCUAAACGAUGUCGACUAGU